UACGUAGGGUGCGAGCGUUGUCCGGAAUUAUUGGGCGUAAAGGGCUCGUAGGCGGUUUGUCGCGUCGGGAGUGAAAACUCAGGGCUUAACCCUGAGCCUGCUUCCGAUACGGGCAGACUAGAGGUAUGCAGGGGAGAACGGAAUUCCUGGUGUAGCGGUGAAAUGCGCAGAUAAUCAGGAGGAACACCGGUGGCGAAGGCGGUUCUCUGGGCAUUACCUGACGCUGAGGAGCGAAAGUGUGGGGAGCGAACAGG
rnacentral:rRNA from 1 species